CCCUAGCCCAGGUAGUAGCGGCAUCCUUUUUGUUUUUUCUUUAAAAACAAAAAGAUAUAGCGGAUAACUGGAAGUAGC
rfam:Flavobacterium sp. LPB0076 LPBF62, whole genome shotgun sequence.